UUGAAAUAACCGAUUAUUCUAUAUGGAAAGUAAUUGCAAUAGAUCUUUAAAUAAGCAGGUUGCUGUCUCAGCCAUUAUAAGACAUGGUAUGCUGCAUUGGCCUGACUUUUCCAAUCUGCAAAAAUUGCUUUCCUGUUCUAACCAUUGCAUCUUAGCAAGGAUAAAAGAAUUCAUCAAGUUGUAAUCAAAAAAGUGGAUGCUUGGAACCACAAAUUACUAUACUCGCUACUGUUUCCCAGACAACUACAGGGUAGCCAACAAACAUUUUUGAAUACAUCGACGUCGCUCAGGAACUCAGGAGGGAAAACCUCUGCUUUCACAAUGUGAACAUUACAAGCAAGCCCGCAAUUUUAUUGCGAAUCCAUAGUUGCAUUUGAAAAGGUGGUGGUGAACUUUUGAUAACUGACCUGCUCGGUCAUUUCAAAGACCAGUUAAGAGUGAAUCAUGUCACUAUGGUUCUAGUAUUGCAUGUAGACUAGAAUAGGUAAGGGCAGCAGGAGCAAGGCCGGCUUUCAUUCAACUGCUAUCACUAAGGUUUCUCUUUGCCAUGACGACUAAAAUUGGUUGCUCUCAGGUACAUGUAUUUCCCCUGUAACGCAAUAGUUGUGCUCUUGUAUGACGUUGUGCAAUAGAAAAUCGCGUUAUAGGGAAAUCACUAUAGAAACUCGCUAUAUUGUACAGCAGAAAGUUUGCAUUAUCCAAACAGUGUCAACUAUUAAUCAAUCACGUUACAGCCAACAUACAUUAACGAAGCACGCGUUAUUGCAGAAAUACUUGUUUUUUUUCUUUGCGAAAAAGUGUUAAGAAAAGAUGUGUGAAGCUAUGCAAAUAGAAAAAUAGAUCCAACAACUACAAGAAGCUUUUUGCUAUAUUUUUAUGAAGAACGAUGGGAACUUGAAAAUAGAAACAAAGCUGUUAUGGAUUAAAAUGACUUGGCCAUUGUUACAGGGUGAAUCAUCGUAAAGGAUUGGAAAGUGGCUAGUGAUGACAUGAAUUUAUUCAGUGCAUAGUUGAUAGCCAUGAACCAACAAUAUUCCAAUAUAGAUUUACAGUCUGUGCUGUAGAGUUGAGUUUUGCUUGAGAGAGAAAAUAAGUUGAGGUUCCAGUUCUUGUUAUCCAGUGAUUACGGUCAGAAAUGCUAAGAGAAUGCUUGUGAUUGUAAGGGAAGUAAUUGGAAUUCAAACAUUGGUAUGACCUGGCAUGCAGAUACUUGUGCAGUGAUGCUUGAUCCAAUGAAGUCUUGUAUAAAAUCAUGCUAUUUUGGUCUCUGUAUAGUAAAUUGUAUUUGUUUCUGCAAUGGGUCCAAGAUUUGCUGUACUGUAAAGUUGCUAGAAUUUAAGGAAAGUGACAAGUCGGCAUAAGUAGAUUGGAACUAGAUAUCAGAAGAGAUCACCUGUUCCUUUUUGUGCUCGUUUUAUUGCUUGACCUUUAUCUCAAACUCUUUUUGAUUCCUUUACUAGGAAAAGAAACUUUUGUCUUUUGUCUUUUAUUUUAGGGAUCAAUUCUUGCCCUCCCCCUCUACUGGUUCCCUUGGACCCCAGAUUAAAACGUGCCUCAAAUAAUUCCUCAGCAGUCAGUUUGAAGAUACUCAUAGUAUUUCUUUUGCACAAGGAGACAUAAGGUGUAUUUUAUGCUUCACGAAAUUUAGAUGAAAUGUUCAGAUGGUGACAGGAAUCUGAGACUGAAUGCCAGUGCUAACUUGUUUCCAGGAUAGUCCUCCCUGUUCCUGAGUAAAUUGGUUCCUUUGGUUUGAUUGAUUCUGAGAAGUCUGAUAAAUUCACCGUGCGUUCUGCAGACUCUGCCACAUAUGGGACAAGUGCUGCUUGAAAGGUUGGGUAAAUAGGUUGCCCAGAGGUUUGUGCAAUCUGUAUUGUGUCUCAACUUUGCCUCUACAUUGCUGACAAACUCUUUAGUUAUGUUCAAUGUCUUCUCAAAUGAGAUUUCUUUAUCUUUGCCAGCUACAAGCCAGGGGGCUCUGCUCCGUUUGACCUCUUCAAGAAGCUUAGCAGCCCUUCAAGGUGUUUCCACUGUCCUGAUCGGAGUAUCUUGCCACGAUCAAGUUCCGGGUCGAGCAUUUGCUUUGGAAUUCUGGUGUCAGGCACAUGAACAGCUUGUCUCACCCAGCAAAGCUAAUUUGGAGUGAUUAGCACCUUGAUGCUGGGUGAUGAGGCUUGGGAGAGGCUCUGCUGUUGAACCAUCUUUCUUGACACCUGAUUUGUCGGAUCUUGCCGAGGCACCUUGCUAUUAAUUCUCCAGAGCUUUGAGGCAGUACGCCAGUAUUGCAUGCAAAGCACCCCAAGAAUGUAUGUCUUAUAAGACCUAAACAGGAAGGAGAGUUUUCACAAACAACAAUUGCAAGUUAGCUGCACUUGCUUUGCUUUUUUUUUAAAAGCAAAAUAUAUUGGUGAAGCUUAUUUUUGUUUAAAAAUGCAUUAUGUUGUGGCAAGGCCCUUUAGGUAAUUGGUGCAUGUUUAAAUUUCUCUUUAAAUGUCAAGUCUCUAUGGAGGUCGUAACAAAUAGAACAUUCAAAGAAAUUGUGCUGCCGUUUUUUUUAAUAUUGAGUAUGGGCAUAAUGACGAAUAUUGAGUGCGAAAAUUUUUGUGGUUGAACAGAAAUUAUUUGGCACUUAAUAGCAUGGAUUCAUUCCACAGUUUAGUUCCUGCAUCGACUUAAAGCACUUCUCCCCAAAGACAACAUUUUAAAAAAAAUGUGAUUAGUUCACUUUCAUCAAUAACCUGAAACAAGAAAGCACACACAGACAAGAGCAACUCUGUGGAGAUCACAGCGCAGUGUGCAGUAAAAAUGUAUGACCUAAUAAGUUUAUGUUUAGAGGCUCAUUUGUUAAAACUCUUGGAUUGCUAAUUUGUGUCUGCAAGAUGAAUGGAUGAGAUAUCUGUAAUGUGUGAGAUUAAUAAUGAUGGAUGAGGAGUUUUUUUACCCCAAUGUUUGUGGCUUUAAACCUUUGGAAGGAAGACACCCAUCAUGGGGGAGCAUUGUAUUUUGAAUGUAUGUAAGAUAUGCUCCACUCCUGUAUUCAGUCAUGUGCUGCUUAUUGAUAGAUUUGUUAGUGCUUUAGUUUAAUGUUAUUUUACAACAAUUUGAUAUGUUAUGUGGACAGUAACUGUGGAAACUUUUUUUUAAAAAUAGUUAUCAUAGAAUCCCUGCAGUGUGGAAACAGGCCCUUCGGCCCAACAAGUCCACACCGAACCUCAGAGCAUCCCACCUAAUCUACACAUUCCUGAACACUAUGGACAAUUUCCCAUGCCAAUCCACCCUAGCCUGCACAUCUUUGGACUGUGGGAGGAAACCGGAGCACCUGGAGGAAACCCACGCAGACACUGGGAGAAUGUGUAAACUCCACACAGCCUGAGGGUAGAAUCGAACCCGGGUUCCUGGUGCUGUGAGGCAGCAGUGCUAACCACUGAGCCACCGUGCCACCCCCUAUAAUAAAGGAAUUGUUUGAUCACUCUGAAAUAUAGUUGUGGGAGCUUGAGCCUAGUGUGUAUCUUUUAAUGGCUCCAUGAUCUGCACGGAACACCAAAACAAGUAACAAAUGAGUGACAUGGGAUUGCACUGCUUUGGCAUAGAUUUUGUUUCAAAGUUUGGAAGCCUUUAAUGCACAUUAAUGCUCUUUCACCUAACCAGCUUGCUCCUCUAAAGUUCUAUCCGAUACGGUGAUAAAACUUAGAUACUCAGUGGUUUUAGUGGCAACAGUGCAUAAGAUAGGCACAGCAGUUCAUUUGAAUCUGGUACAUACAUAUUGUUUCUGUGCAGGAUACAUUAUCUUGUUUUCUCCAUUAGUUCCUCUCUGUUUUAGUUGCUGUAAAUGUGAUAAUUUCUAGUUUUUGUGCAAUUCAAGUUUUUUGCUCUGAUUUGUAGAAAUACUAACCAAUCUGUUGCUACCACUUCUCUACCUUCCUCUUACUCUUCUUUUCUCCUCCCUUCUUCUAAUUUUAAGCCUAAAAUCUGCAGUGGUUUGAUGAUUACUGUAAAUGUUGCAUUUGUGGAAGAGUUAACCUACCAUACGGUGUUUCUAAGAUUAUUUUUUGAAGUUGGUGGCCAGCUUCUUUUAUAAAUAGGAGACAGAUACAAUGGGGAGCAUUAAAUUACCCCUGUUCUCUCCUUGGUUUUUCAACCCAUUAAAAAAAAUGAGCAAAUUAAAAUGCAAAAAUAGAAAUAUGUAGACAAAAUUGAAAAUUAAUUUAAUCAAAUAGUUGUUUAUCAUUGCUUUGCUUUCAUUUUUUGAAAAGACUUUCACAGGAAGUGGAUGUUUCUGGGAAGGCCAACAUUUAGUGCCCAUCCCUAAUUGCCCUUAAGCAAUUCUCAGCAAUGUGUGCCUUGCUUAAGUCAUUUCAGAGGGUAUUUAAGUGUCAGUCACAUUGCUGUGGAUUUGAGUUUGCAUGUAGGCCAGAUCAGGUAAAUAUGGCCAAUUUCCUUCCCCAAACAGUAUCCGUGAACCAGAAGAUUUUUCCUGCCAAUGGAUGAUAGCUUUCAAUUUCAAUUUCAAUUUUGAUGAACUGCAGUUAUUAAUUGACUUCAAAUUCUAAUAUGUGCCAUGGUAGUUUUCAGAGCUCUGUCUUUGAGGGUAUUAACCUGUGCCUCUGGAUUGCUAGUCCAGUGGCGUUGCCACUACACCACCAUGUUUGCCCAUCUUGUUAUGGUGAAUUGAAAGCAAAAUAUUGGGCAUGAUGGAUUCUGAAAUAAAAACAAAAUUCUGAAAACACAGGUCAGAAAGCAUUGGUGGAGAAAGAAAUUGAGUUUAAAGUUUCAGGUCAAUGAAGGCCUUAUUAUAGUUUUCAUCCAUUAUUGAUCUGAUCUAUUCUUCAGGCAAUAUUUUUUGUAACAAAAAACAACCUACAAAGCUAAUUCAAAUAAUCAUCUAAAUCGAAGAUAGUCAUAUGGAAGAACAAAACACAAGCUUUGCUGAUAAAGAUGUAUUAUCCCUAAGUUUUUUGUCUUAUGCUCAACAGAACAUUUGCAAGAAUACUGUGGUAAAGAACAACCUUUUCAUACUAAAAACUGAAAGAACUGUGGAUGCUGUAAAUCAAACAAAAACAGAGGUUGCUGGAAAAGCUCAGCAUGUGUGGUAGCAUCUGUGAAGAGAAAUCAGAGUUCAUGUUUCAGGUCUUCCUCAGAAGUUUUUCAUACUGUAUGAUUGGUUACUAACUGGUGGUGUUUCCAUGAGAAUGUAUCUUGGUCUGAAUAGCACAAAUUUCUUUGGAUGCAUUCUCUCUGACAACGCUAUUACCAAUUAGAAUUACUUUUAAUUGUAAAAAGAACUUAUGCGACCAAUUAAUUUGAUGGAAGGAACUUGCGUACGAUGAGGAUUUCAUCCUACAUUCUUUGAAGUUAGUUACUUUUCCCAAACAAAUAGUAGUGAUAGCAAUAGUAUCAUUUUUUGUUGGCAGUUUUUUGAAUGUAAAGUCAGUUACUGGCAGACAGUAUAUAUACACUGGUGCAGUAUAGAUGGGUAGUUUUGGCAAAGAUCGUUGAAGAUGGCUUGAAAGUAGCCAGUUGUAUAGAAGUUCGUGAUCGUGAUGGUUUUCACAAGUAGUUUGAGUUCUGAACAAAGUUUGCAGUAGAACUGCAGAAGACUGUAAUGCUCCAGGACAGCCUUCCUGCAUCAGAAUAAGUAAUGAAGGCAAAUCUUCUCAAAAUCUUUCAAGGAGCUUUGACAUGACUUAGGAUACAGUCCUGUUUUGUGUGUUUUUGUCAAAAUGAUCAUCCUCUAACUCUUAGGAAUUCCCUAAAAAUACUGAUUGUAUCGGAUAUAUAGCUUACUACAUAAAUGUACAUUCUCAAAUGAAGUUGAGAUCACCUUCAAGCAGUCAGUUGUGAGGGAAAAAAUGUCUAUUGAUGACUACUUGUCAUACGAAGAUGUCUGGAUAAACAUAUGGAUGAUAAUGGAAUAGUUUAGGUUAGAUGGGCUUCGGAUUGGUUUCACAGGUCGGCGCAACAUCGAGGGCCGAAGGGCCUGUACUGUGCUGUAAUGUUCUAUGUUCUAUUAUAUCAGAUGGUGAUCUUUUCUAAUUUGGUCACCAUCUUGAUUCAAUUUUACAAUCAGGGAUAUAAAAAAUUAUUCCAUUUUUGCCAGUAUAAUAUGACAGGUUUUAAGUUGUGUUCAAUAUUUUGUUUUUUGAAAAUAACCUUCAUGAGAAAACUGAAAACUAGUGGAUUGAGGUUAUGUCAAUAAAGCAUGAAGUAAAAUCAAAUGUAAUAUUCUUCUCUCUGUCACCAGGUGUAUAGUGUGUAGGAGAUUGCAAGUCUUUAAUGGUAUUUAUUUAAGUUAAAUAUUGCUGUAGCUGCUCAAAAUACUAUACUGUUAUAACUCUGGUACAGUGGAAACGUCAUUUGUGAAAAGGAUGUAGAUUUGUUAGACUGAGCUGGGCAAUUUGCUUAUUUAAAUUCAAUAUUCCGAAAAAAAUGCAUUUAUCUUAGAAUGUUUUCUGAGCUUCUGAAGUGAGUGAAGUAUUAAUGUCAUUGCAAAUCAAAGCUGAUUUACUGAAAGUAAAUGAUCCAAUGUUGGGCUGACUGUGUUUCAUCAAUCUAUAAUUUCUUACCUAUAUAUUGAAUAGAUUGGAGAAUUAAUUCUGAUAUAACAGUAUCAGAUUUCCGUUAAUAACUUAUUUUCAAGCUUCUGAAGAAACUUUUCCAGCAACUUACAAAAAAGAUUUUUUCAAUUUAUUACAUUUGACCAAAUAAUUUUGCAACACAGUCAGUAUUAAUUCUGAUUUCAUUUGGGUAAUUUGUAAAUAUUUCUGUUAAUUUUACCGCUGUCAAUACAGCCUGUGAAAUGCAGUGGCUGUAAGAUGGAUCAUUAAAAUUAAUCAGUUUUACUUAAUGCAUGGUAAAUGACUUCCCGGGUUAUUCAAAAUGUUUAGCGUAACAGACCCAAUAUAGCCAGCUGCUGCUUUUAAAAUUAAUUGAUGUGAUAUAGGCAUCGCUAGUUGGGCCAACAUUUAUUACCUGCCCCUAGUUGCCCUUGGGAAGAUGGUAGUGAGCUACCUUCUUGAACCUCUGAAGUCCAUGUGCUGCAGGUCGACACACAAUGUCGUGAGGGAGGAAUUUCCUGGAUUUUGACUUGGCAACACUGAAGGAAUGGUGAUAUAUUUCCAAGUCAGGAUUGCAUGUGGUUUGGAGGGGAACUUGCAAGUCGUGAUGUUCCCUUACAUCCCUUAUCCUACCAGACGGUAAUUGUCAUGGGUUUGGAAGGUGGCAUCAAAGGAGUUUUGGUGAAUUUCUGCAGGGCUGCUUAAGAUGUUAGACACUGCUGCUACUGAGCAUCCAUAGUGGAGGUGGUUAAUGUUUAUGGAUGUGAUGCUAAUUAAGCAGUGUCUUGACACUGUCAAACUGUUUAAGUCUUGUUGAACUACAGUUAUCUGGGCAUGUGGGAAUAUCUGUUCUGAAGAAGGGUCACUGGAUUCAAAACAUUAACUCUGCUUUCUUUCUAUAGAUGCUGCCCGACCUGGUGAGGUUUUCCAACC